ensembl:rRNA 5S_rRNA 5S ribosomal RNA
UUCUAAGGCCAUAGCACCCUGAACGCGCCCUAUCUCGUCUGAUCUCGGAAGCUAAGCAGGGUCGGGCCUGGUUAGUACUUGGGUGGGAGACAGCCUGGGCAUACCGGGUGCUGUAGGCU